UAUUUUAGAAUUUAAACAACGUAAGUGUUAUUCAUAUUAAUUUAUUAUGAAAAACUCACGUGAUACAACGUCAGAGUAUGCCCGACUAGUUUCUAACCCAUACGGGGCACUUAGUCAUGAGCUGAUUCUUGCAACACGGCAUGAUCGAAACUCCGUUACACUCUCCGACGGUUCAUGAAUGUCGUCUUGAUUGGAUCCGGGGCAUGCACCUCCAACUUCUCAGUUGUGUACAUUUUAAGAAAACGUGUCUUGAAAGGUUAAAGAAAAACAUCGUGAGAAAACCUGCAUACCUGAGAAUUUUCUUAAUUCUCUGCGUGUGAGUUUGCCAAUCCGCAUUGGGCGAGCGUGGUGGACUAUUUUGCCUAACCUCUCUCAUUCUGAGAGGAGACUCGAGCUCAGCAGUGAGAUGAAUAUGGGAUGAUAAUGAAUGAUUACGUAUCCAUCACUAGGUUUUUAUAGUUAGAAAUAAUGAUGUCUGUACUAACUAAAUCAGUAUAAUUUAAGGACAAAACAGAAAAUGAAAAUCAGGAUGGAUUCAAUUUCGAAUUUUCUCAGCUUGAAUUGAAAUCUGCGCCAAAAGUCAUAGUAGGGAAAAGCGAGUCAACAAUCAUAUCAGAAGAGUUCGUUCAGGCUCGUGUCAUACAAACACACGAACGAUACAGACAAUACUACAUACAGGAUUUCAAAGCCAAAUGUAAUAUAAGAAGACGAUAUUUUGCGGAGAAAGCAGUUGAAGCUCCUAAAAGAUUAAGAAUAUCUGCUGCAGCGUUGAUUCAGAGAGUUUACAGGUAGAGUGCAUCUUCUAGUCAUCUAAUUGCAUACGAUUGUCUUGGUUCAAAACGUAAUAAAGUAAAGGGUCACUGGGAACGUACAGCGAUCCCUUUUAGGGUUGAAAGGAUGAUUCAAAAACGGUACGGUUUAAAUGUAUUCC